GACGAACGCUGGCGGCGUGCUUAACACAUGCAAGUCGAACGGAAAGGCCCUGCUUUUGUGGGGUGCUCGAGUGGCGAACGGGUGAGUAAAACGUGAGUAACCUGCCCUUGACUUUGGGAUAACUUCAGGAAACUGGGGCUAAUACCGGAUAGGAGCUCCUGCUCCAUGGUGUGGGUUGGAAAGUUUCGGCGGUUGGGGAUGGACUCGCGGCUUAUCAGCUUGUUGGUGGGGUAGGUGCUUACCAGGGCUUUGACGGGUAGCCGGCCUGAGAGGGGAACCAGCCACAUUGGGCCUGAGAUACGGCCCAGACUCCUACGGGAGGCAGCAGGGGGGAAUAUUACACAAUGGGCGGAAGCCUGAUGCAGCAACGCCGCGUGCGGGAUGACGGCCUUCGGGUUGUAAACCGCUUUCGACUGUGACGAAGCGUGAGUGACGGUAAUGGGUAAAGAAGCACCGGCUAACUACGUG
rnacentral:rRNA from 1 species